ensembl:lncRNA
UUUUAUGUUUGGUUCUUUAAACUAAAUAACUUGAUUUCAAGUCCUGGUCGUUGAGCAUCCAGGGUUCAUAUCCUGGAUGUGGUAUACCGGUGGAGUCCGGCAUAUGGCGGUGUAAUCUGGCACAGUGGGGCCCCAGGUGAACAGGGUGCCUCGUCACAUGACUCUUUAGCAAGCCCAUAUGUAGGUCGGGCAGCUGUGAAACUGCAGAAUUCAGUGGCCUGGACCUUCUGGUCUGAGUGAGCAAUGUGAUGAGUGUGGAGGCAGUUUAGUGACAUGUGCCUGGAGUAUGUUAAACGCUACUGGAACUUUGACUGGAACCAAGGUUUUUGGCAACAAAUGCUCAAGGUGGGUUUGGCGUUAACAGAAGGGUGACUAUACCGAAAAGAACUUGAUCUCCACUGUUAAGUGAGGUGGAGUUUAGGGUGUAAUGGUAUGGUGGAGGUGCUUACAUUUACGCUGUAAUGACGGGAAGUAUGGUGGAGGUGCUUGCAUUUACAGUGUAAUGACAGGAAGUAUGGUGGAGGUGCUUCAAUUUAAGGUGUAAUGACAGGAAGUAUGGUGGAG